AUUGAACGCUGGCGGCAGGCCUAACACAUGCAAGUCGAACGAGUGGCGGACGGGUGAGUAAUGUCUGGGAAACUGCCUGAUGGAGGGGGAUAACUACUGGAAACGGUAGCUAAUACCGCAUACCAUCGGAUGUGCCCCGAUGGGAUUAGCUAGUAGGUGGGGUAACGGCUCACCUAGGCGACGAUCCCUAGCUGGUCUGAGAGGAUGACCAGCCACACUGGAACUGAGACACGGUCCAGACUCCUACGGGAGGCAGCAGUAGGGAAUCUUGGGCAAUGGGCGCAAGCCUGAUGCAGCCACGCCGCGUGUAUGAAGAAGGCCUUCGGGUUGUAAAGUACUGUCAGCAGGGAGGCGUUACCCGAAGAAGAAGCACCGGCUAACUCCGUGCCAGCCGCCGCGGUAAUAC
rnacentral:rRNA from 1 species